rnacentral:rRNA from 1 species
UACGUAGGGCGCAAGCGUUAUCCGGAAUUAUUGGGCGUAAAGAGCUCGUAGGUGGCUUGUCGCGUCUGCCGUGAAAGCCCAUGGCUUAACUGUGGGUCCUGCGGUGGAUACGGGCAGGCUAGAGUUCGGUAGGGGGAGACUGGAAUUCCUGGUGUAGCGGUGAAAUGCGCAGAUAUCAGGAGGAACACCAAUUGCGAAGGCAGCUCGCUGGGACGUUACUGACGCUGAGACGCGAAAGCGUGGGGAGCAAACAGG